rnacentral:rRNA from 2 species
CAACUUUCAACAAUGGAUCUCUAGGUUCUCGCAUCGAUGAAGAACGUAGCAAAUUGCGAUAACUAGUGUGAAUUGCAUUUUCAGUGAAUCAUCGAGUCUUUGAACGCAUCUUGCACUCUAGGGCAUUCCCUAGAGUACGCCUGUUUCAGUGAC